UACUAACAAUUAUACAAAUUAGUUUCUAGAGAAAAAAAUAAUCUUGAAAUUGUACGUUUACCAUUACCAUCCAAAGGGAACAUUGAGAUUUUUGUGAAAGGAUCCUUUGCGGGAAGCUUCGCAGAAAGAUCAAAGAUUUUCAUGAACCCCAUAACUCUUCAAACCUCGUAACAGCUUCGAAUUUCAAACCCCAUCAAUCUGGUAAGUACCCAUUUUUGCUUUUGAGCUAUUUUUGUUCUUGUCUUGUACAAAAUUCCAAGACUUUUUCGAUGUGUUUUGCUGAAUUUCAGUAGUUUCUAAUUGAAAACUGAGGAUUAUGGUUCUUGGGUUUUCGAUGCGUUUUGCUGAGUUUCAGUAGUUUUUAAUUGAAACUGAGGGGAUUAUGGUUCUUGGGUAAUUUGAAAUAUUUGUUGAAAAAUGGAGAAAUCUGAUGGGUUUUUCAUUAGAAAAAGUCCACGACUUCGUGGGGUGUUCAAUCUUGUGUGUUCCCUAGUCCUUAUGUUUAUGUUCUACAACCGUGAAGAUAUUGUGAGCAAUCCAAUUAUAAAGAAGUCAUCUUUAGUUUCUAGUCAGUGGAACCCAAGUAGUAGAUUUGAUGGUUAUUCUUCACAUACACGAGUGGUUCGUCGAGGGAUGUUAGAAGUGAACGGGUCGGAUGCUGAUGAUUUGGUGGUAAAAAAGCCUCAGUUAUGUGCAGGAUUGUUUGAUCAUGUGGGGUUUAAAAGUAGUUGUGACUUCUUGAAAGUUCACCCGGAUUGCUCGUCUGGAGGGUUCUUUGAUUACCUUAAGUUCUAUUACUGUGGUUGUAAUGGAAGUGCGUGGGCGUUUGUAGUAUUUGGUGUCUGGCUUGCUGCAUUGUUCUAUCUUUUGGGUAACACUGCAGCUGAUUACUUUUGUGGUUCAUUGGAGAAACUGGCUAGCUUGUUGAAGCUAUCUCCUACAGUUGCUGGAGUUGUUUUGCUCCCGCUUGGUAAUGGUGCUCCGGAUGUAUUCGCGAGUAUUGCUGCGUUUGUAGGAAGUGGUGCUGGUGAUGUUGGGCUUAACAGUGUUCUAGGUGGGGCUGUGUUUGUUACUUGCGUUGUCGUGGGUGCUGUUUCUCUUUGUGUAGCUGAUCAGGAUGUUCAGGUUGACAAAAAAUGUUUUAUUAGGGAUAUUGCCUUUUUCAUUGUAACACUGAUGUCACUAUUAUUGAUCUUGAUUGUUGGUGAAGUUAGUGUCGUAGCAACUAUUGCAUUUGUAUUGAUCUAUGUUAUUUAUGCCUUUGUUGUUGCUGCCAAUGAGAUUUUGAGGAAGCAUGCUCGAAGAUUGAGAUUGGAUGUUGUUACUCCUUUGCUUCCUGUAAGAGGAAGUAUAUUUUCUGAAGGGACUCAGGAGGAGGAUUCUGUUUAUAGCACUUUGCUUGACGUUGAGACAGAGGACAAUACCAUACAGUCACAUGGUUCCUUGCCUCAGUGGAUGUGGGCAUCCAAUGUGGCAAUAUAUUCUAAUCAGUCAUUGAGGGUGCAUGAUGGGGAAAGGCCUUUGUGGGGUUGGAUUGACGAGGGUGUAGAAGUCAAGAGCCCAUCAUUUUCCUGCUCUCAGCUCUGUUCACUUCUAGAGUUGCCAUUGACUGUGCCAAGACGAUUAACCAUUCCAUUAGUUGAGGAAGAAACUUGGUCAAAACCAUACGCUGUAGGCAGUGCUACUUUAGCUCCUUUUCUUCUUGCAGCUUUAUGGAAUACUCAGGAUUAUGUGAGUUACCUAGGCAGAAGUGUUGCUAUAGUUCUUGGCAUUUCUGUUGGUUGCACACUGGGUAUACUUGCAUACAAGCAUACAAGAGCUGACCGUCCACCACAGAUGUUUUUGCUUCCAUGGGUUUUGGGGGGUUUUAUUAUGAGUAUCGUGUGGUUUUAUAUGAUUGCGAAUGAACUGGUGGCGCUGCUGGUUGGAUUGGGUGUUGUACUGGGGGUUAAUCCCUCUAUUCUUGGGCUCACUGUUUUGGCUUGGGGCAAUUCAAUGGGUGAUCUGGUCUCUAAUGUUGCUUUGGCGAUGAAUGGGGGAGAUGGUGUGCAGAUUGCUUUAUCUGGAUGCUAUGCAGGUCCCAUGUUUAAUACACUUAUUGGGUUAGGAAUCUCAUUAUUCCUCGGUGCCUGGUCAGAGAAACCUUCUUCAUUCAUACUUCCAGGGGAUAGAAGUUUGUUUUACACCAUAUGUUUUCUCCUGUUUGGUCUUUUAUGGGCCCUUGUUGUUCUUCCCAAGAAUGACAUGCGCCCUAACAAGAUGCUUGGUGUAGGCCUUAUCAUCAUUUAUUUGGUAUUUCUGUCUGUUAGACUGAGUAGCGCGAUGGGGAUUGUUUCAUUGUUUGGGCUUAGUGACUAAUAGUUGCAUGUUCAGAAAGAUUAGCAUUGAAAUCAUCUGAACUUGAGAUUCAGAUUGUCCCACUUCACUUGACUAGUGAACUUGAUUGGUAUCUUCAUCAUGGGACAAAGUUCCAAUAUAAGGAGCUUGUUAUGCUCAUCAAUGAUGUAUUCUGCUGUACAAAUACUCAUAAAACUGCAAGUGUCUUUUGAUAAAGCUAUCCAUCUCUCUGCUGGUGACUCAAACAAGUGGUUCAGCUUUUUUCAUCUCGCGUCUAUCAGGUGAACAAUAAAGGUGUACGUGAUGGAGGAAUAAAUAAGUUUGGGAUAAUUAAAGCGGAAUAUAGUUUAGGCGUACGCACUACACAGAAUAAAAAGCUCAAGUUCAGAAAGGUAAUGCAUAGUUUUGCCUAAUUUAUUCGUUUUUUAAAAAAUAAUUUUGUUUGGUGGUCAAGUAUUCUAGAAAGCUGUUAGUUGGUUUGUGU